AAACUUACCUGUCAAGAAGGAUACCUGAUUGUGAACAUAGAUAUCACAGGGUUAUGCUUAUCCCUUGUACUCCAGAUGUCCUAACACCUGCAAUUUUUCCAAUGCGGAAAGCUGAACUGCAUAAUUCAUGGCAGUGGAGUGACUGCAUUCCAGCUCUGCCCCC